AUUGAACGCUGGCGGCAGGCCUAACACAUGCAAGUCGAACGAGUGGCGGACGGGUGAGUAAUGUCUGGGAAACUGCCCGAUGGAGGGGGAUAACUACUGGAAACGGUAGCUAAUACCGCAUACCAUCGGAUGUGCCCAGAUGGGAUUGGCUAGUAGGUGGGGUAAUGGCUCACAUAGGCGACGAUCCCUAGCUGGUCUGAGAGGAGGACGAGCCACACUGGAACUGAGAACAGGUCCAGACUCCUACGGGAGGCAGCAGUGGGGAAUAUUGGACAAUGGGCGAAAGCCGAAUGAAGAAAGCCCGCGGGUAUGAAGAAGGCCUUCGGGUUGUAAAGUACUUUCAGCGGGGAGGCGUUACCCGAAGAAGAAGCAACGGCUAACUCCGUGCCAGCAGCCGCGGUAAUUC
rnacentral:rRNA from 1 species